rnacentral:rRNA from 1 species
ACUGCCGGUGUUAAGCCGGAGGAAGGUGGGGAUGACGUCAAGUCCUCAUGGCCUUUAUGCCCAGGGCUACACACGUGCUACAAUGGGUGGUACAAAGAGAUGCCAACUCGCGAGAGCGCGCCAAUCUCAAGAAAGCCAUCCUCAGUUCGGAUUGGAGUCUGCAACUCGACUCCAUGAAGUUGGAAUCGCUAGUAAUCGCGGAUCAGCACGCCGCGGUGAAUACGUUCCCGGGCCUU